rnacentral:lncRNA from 1 species
GGCGGUGCGUGGAUACUGGAGCGUGGAUGGGUUGUGUGUGGACGGUUAAUAAGGGAACGAGUGAUGUGUAUGGUCGUGGUAUUGGUCCGUGUGGAUGCAAUCUCCAGGGUCUAGUGGGGUGGUUUCUGAUGAUGUCUUGCUUGGUGAAGUGAGUGCAGGUGAGCCGUCCACAAUUAGUAACAUUGCAAUUGCUGUUGGAGUAAUGGGAGAUAUCUCAUGGUUCCAAUAUAUGCUUCUCUUAUCUAUAAAUCUGUAUACAAAGACCUCUUUUGUUAUCCUCCAUGUAAUGUAUUUUUGUUCUCUCUUUUCGGUUUUAGAGUAUGGAUUAUCAUUUUGUAGUUGAAUAUCAACAUAACCCAAACGUCAGUUUAAUCUAUUAUGCAACUUGUGUUCUAGUUUAUUGAAUUUUCUAUAAUAUGGAUAUAGCUAUGACCACGUCCACAUUUCUCAUGUCAUCCACAAGUUCCAUUCCAAACUACAAUCUCUCCAAAUUGGUAGCUUAUAUCAAUA